ACACACCGCGGCUUUUUAUUGUCGCGGUGCCGAGCAAACGUGCAGUUUCGCGUAAAGCGCAAAAAGCGUUGCGCCACAGCUUGUCGCAUCUGGCUUCGCAGUAUUGUAGCAGCAGCAGCAGCAGAGCAGGAGCGGAGCGCGCUUAAAAAGGCUCAUAUAACCGGAAACAAUGAAGUGGCUUUGGAUAAUUGUCUUAGUGGCUCUGGCGCUGCCGGCUGCUGUACCGCGAAAAAUCCACAGAAGCAAGCCCACGCCACGACUGUACGGCGACAGAGUUCCCGUCAAUUUAAUAAGGACCACCAGCAGCAAGAUACGGCAAAAGAUCGUGGACACCCACAAUUACUUUCGCACGCAGGUCAAGCCAUCUGCCGCCAACAUGCUCGUCAUGAAAUGGCAUUCCGGUCUAGCGAAGGCAGCGCAGAGGUGGUCCGAUCGCUGCCUCGGUUUAGUGCAUGACAAUGCGACCGGCCUGUAUCUGGACGGCUUUGGACAAAGUGGACAAAACAUAUUCAUCAGUACGGGUCGCACACUCUGGAACUUCCCCAUCAGAAUGUGGUACAUGGAGUACAAGGACUUCAAGUACGGGCCCAAUACGACGAAUGAGAUCCUCGAGAUCGGCCAUUACACGCAGGUGGUGUGGGCGACGACACAUCUGGUCGGAUGCGGGGUGAGCCAUUGCACCGGCGGCAAGGGUCCGCUCGGCAAGGAUUUCUACAUGUACGUUUGCAACUACGCUCCGAGCGGAAACUACAAGGGCCGUCUGGGCUUGCCCUACGUGACCGGGAAGCCGUGCAGCAUGUGCAAGGACCACUGCACGCAGGACGCGCUCUGCACGAACGCCUGUUACCAUACCGAUCUGUGGUCGAACUGCGCCGAGCUGGUCAGGACGUUCGGCUCGUGGGUCUGCGAGACGGACACCAAGGAGGGCCACGAACGCCGGAAGUUCUGCGGCGCCACGUGCAACUGCAAGGACAAGAUCUACUACCAUCACCAAGGGUAGGAGGGCUCCUUGGCUUCCGCGUUUGGGUCCACCGUGUUGCAUGAAUAAUUUAAUCGCCCUGCAAAACUAAACUCAGACCUGGUGGGUGUGACGACGGCUAAACGGCGGCAGAUCGUUUAAACGGGGGGAGGGGAGGAGGAAGGGAUCGUGUUGUUUUAUUGAUGAGCUCGUUUGUUUAGUGAUGAGAGCUAGGAGGAACGCUCGCGACGUUUCGAGCUAGGGCACCGAAGGAGGGUGAGCGAGUAAACGGGAUAAUAUGGAAAUAUGGUAGAUGAAGUGAUUGUGGGAUUUGUGUGUUAUCUGGAUCUCUGGGACCUAGAUUUUGCGGAUUCUAGGGAUCGCCCAAAAUCUAAUAGAUCAAUAGACUCUGUGCCGCGAUUUAACGAUUACAGACCGCACAUAAUCUUUCGAAUUCAGAUCCCAGAGAUUCCAAAAUAUGAUUCUUGUUGUAAUAUAAUCCUUGAAUUCUAGGACUCUGAAUUUUACAAUCCACGAAUGUUCCGGAUCCUUUGAUCCUUCGUUUCACGAAUUGCCGGUGUAAAAUUCGCGUCUGUCUUUUACAAUUUUCGCAAAAAUCACAUUUCCCGCAAAGUUUUACGCAAAGUAAUGCAUUCGUAAAAAAAAUAUAUAAUUUUUAAUGCACUAAAGUAUUAUUAUUUUAACUUGUUUGUGUACUCGCUUCUUCUAGUUACAUAAGAACAGAUCGAAAACAGAGAAGUUUAAAUGGAAAUGAAUUAAUUUUUUAGAUGAGCGUGUCGUCUUAACAUCGGGACGAAAACAUAUUAUAUUUUAUGUCUAUAUAUUUCACAUGUUUAAAGAUUGAUAUAGUUUAAUGUAAUUAACAUACACGCACACGUAUAUGUACGCGGGAGAAUAAAGUUCCAGGACUGGGUUUGACAAGUUUUUGAUAUACACUUAUCUUUAUUAAUUAUUCUUUAAUCUGUUUACUCUUUGAAAAGAUAGAUUUUUUAGUUAUUAUGUAUAUUAGACAUACACAGGAUAAUUCAGAACUGCCAUCCUUUUAUAUCUUUUGAAUACCUAUCAGGCAAAUAAUUUCUGAAAAUCACUCUUGUGUUUUAUAUCGUUCAAGGCUAUCAAUCAUCUGUACGUAUCCGAAAGAAAUAAUAAAGGCCAACUCUACUUUUUAAGUUCGUUCAUAAUUAUUUUCACAUUUUUUGUGUUCUUAUAAACUUACGUAAAGCAAAGCUUAAAACAGAUUUUAUCAGUUUAAUGUGGUUGCCUGCUGCGCGCGUAUUAUAUUUUUAGCUUUAAAUGUUUACUGCAGUAUAAAAUAAUCUGCAUGAAAUUAAUUAAAAGGAUAACCAAGGAACUCAUUUAAAUUUUAUUUUGUAAAUCUAAUCUUAAUGUGGAAUCUUGUCAUUAUACGUUUUUCGUCCGAGAUUCUUUUUUGUCCAAAACGAUAACUUUUAAAUAUCAUAAAAAUUGUAAAUAAAUCCGGUGGGUAACAUAUCGAAAUUGACAAUUAUUAGACGAUAUACGUAACUUCUAAUUAUUUUAGCUAACUUGCUAAGAGGAACAAUGUAAAAAUUAAACUAAGCUUCCGAGGAAACGGUGUGUCGGUGUUUCUUGUCGUGGUGUAACGAUGGAACUUCCCUUUGUUAGCAAUUAAUAAUAACGAUAACAGUUAUUUUUAUCUUAGAUUUAACAACAGCGUGUUCACGCGAUAUCGCGCAGAUGAAAGCAAGCUGGAAUUGUAAAGAGUUAAGACAAAUCGUAAAUUCUUAAGACAUAAUCAGUAAUAUGGGUCGUGAAACAACACGUGUGACGAAUGGCGAAGCGUGAUUGAUGAAUAAUGUUAGAUACUUGAUUGUCGAUAAUUAAAGGAGUUCGCUAAAGAGAUAUAACAGUGAAUGUAACGGUACAGCCUCCAAAUAAAAUGUUUAAACUGUAAUACUUUUUUGUCCACUUACACAAUAAAUAUCCUGUAAAUAUUA